AGUGAACGCUGGCGGUAGGCCUAACACAUGCAAGUCGAACGGAAGCACAAUAAGAUUUUGCUUUUACGGGUAGCGAGUGGCGGACGGGUGAGAAAUACAUAGGAAUCUACUUUUUCGUGGGGGAUAACGUAGGGAAACUGACGCUAAUACCUCAUAUGAUCUACGGGAUAAAUCAGUGGUUCUUCGGACCUUGCGCGAUUGAAUGAGACGAAGUCGGAUUAGCUAGUUGGCUGGGUAAAGGCACACCAAGGCGACGAUCCGUAGCUGAUCUGAGAGGAUGAUCGGCCACACUGGAACUGAGACACGGUCCAGACUCCUACGGGAGGCCGCAGUAGGGAAUAUUGGGCAAUGGGCGCAAGCCUGAUCGAGCAAUACCGCGUGAGUGAAGAAGGUCUUCGGGUUGUAAAGCUCUUUUGUUGGGAAAGAAAAACAGCAGAUUAAUAUCCCGCUGUUUUGACGGUACCCAAAGAGUAAGCAACGGCUAACUUCGUG
rnacentral:rRNA from 1 species